rnacentral:rRNA from 1 species
UACAGAGGUCUCGAGCGUUGUUCGGAUUCAUUGGGCGUAAAGGGUGCGUAGGUGGCUUGGUAAGUCGGAUGUGAAAUCCCGGGGCUCAACCCCGGAACUGCAUUCGAUACUGCUUGAGCUUGAGUCCUGGAGAGGAGAUCGGAAUUUACGGUGUAGCAGUGAAAUGCGUAGAUAUCGUAAGGAAGACCGGUGGCGAAGGCGGAUCUCUGGACAGGAACUGACACUGAGGCACGAAGGCCAGGGGAGCAA